GAAAGAUUAAUACCCGAUGGCAUAAUGAUUCCGCAUGGUUUCAUUAUUAAAGGAUUCCGGUAAAGGAUGGGGAUGCGUUCCAUUAGGUUGUUGGUGAGGUAACGGCCCACCAAGCCUUCGAUGGAUAGGGGUUCUGAGAGGAAGGUCCCCCACAUUGGAACUGAGACACGGUCCAAACUCCUACGGGAGGCAGCAUG
rnacentral:rRNA from 1 species